rnacentral:rRNA from 1 species
AGAGUGCAACAGUACGUGAAAUUGUUAAAAGGGAACCGCUUGGAACCAGUGGUGUGCGCCGGUAAUUCAGUUACACAUGCUUUUCUCUGUUAGUUUCAAGAGUUAAUAGCCUUGAAAUUGGCCGUCGAGGAGUAUGGGUGAUGCACUUUGCCGGUGCACUGGUCAACAUCAUUUUUGCUGGCCGGAAAAAGUCAUUAGGAAGGUGAGUUCUCUCGGGAACUGUUAUAUCCUAGUGAAAUCUACGGUCGGUGGGAAUGAGGACAUGUGCAGCGUGAGCCUGGCUGGGCCGCCUGCCUCUGAAGGCUCGUUUGGUGCGAACUGCAUGCAGAUCGUGUCAAAUGUGGGUAUUCACGGGUGGGGUCGGUCACAAAUCACGCUCCAGAUGUUGACGAAAUGGUUUUAAACGACC